CCUACGGGUGGCUGCAGUGGGGAAUAUUGGACAAUGGGCGAAAGCCUGAUCCAGCCAUGCCGCGUGUGUGAAGAAGGCCUUCGGGUUGUAAAGCACUUUCAGUGGGGAAGAAAGCCUUGGGGCUAAUACCCUCGAGGAAGGACAUCACCCACAGAAGAAGCACCGGCUAACUCCGUGCCAGCAGCCGCGGUAAUACGGAGGGUGCGAGCGUUAAUCGGAAUUACUGGGCGUAAAGCGCGCGUAGGCGGUCUGAUAAGCCGGUUGUGAAAGCCCCGGGCUCAACCUGGGAGCGGCAUCCGGAACUGUCAGGCUAGAGUGCAGGAGAGGAAGGUAGAAUUCCCGGUGUAGCGGUGAAAUGCGUAGAGAUCGGGAGGAAUACCAGUGGCGAAGGCGGCCUUCUGGACUGACACUGACGCUGAGGUGCGAAAGCGUGGGUAGCAAACAGGAUUAGAUACCCCGGUAGUC
rnacentral:rRNA from 1 species